CAGGCCCUGAGCUCAGCUGCACCUGUGCAAGUCGACUUCAGCCGGGUUACGCUGGGUUUACACCAAUGUGAACAAGUCCCUCUGAUCAGUAAGGUCUUCUGAGAUCAGAGUUGCAUUGUCUUUCCUGGCUUUCCUUCAUGCCAGAAUCCAUGUUAAAAUCCCUAUUUGUGAGCUGAGUGGGGAAGGGGCCUCUUGUAAGCCAGGAGACCUUGAAUACAUCCUGUUCCCGUCAUCAGUCAGCUCAAGAGCAGUCUCAGUAAUACCAAAUCUCAUGGAAGAAAUCACAAGUCCUGAUUUUGAAGUCAAAUUAACUCUGACUCAUAAUCUCCUGAUAGAGAGAUCAAAUCUUGGGAUCUUUUCUUCUGGCCCUUGUAGAGUACCAAGCUGAGUUUGUCUCAGGAUUUUUGACACAGUGGGGUUGGCAAUACUGCAGUCUCCUUUCCCACAAUGCAGUGGGAGAGCUCCUACAGCCAGAAGAAUUGGAACAGGUAUCAGAUAGUGCUGGAAAUGUGAAUGUAGCACUGCCAAGCACAUGAGCUGCCAGGGCUCCAUGGGAAUCCAGCUUCUCCAGCUGCCUUCGUGCCUCCAAGGUUCUUUGGGUGCCUCCAGAUGCUUAAUAAACAGCCCAUGGAAGAAUGACCUUGCCACAGAAAAAGAGGCUGAACAGCUCACAGAAGCCGUUUGUAGACAUGCUCACUAUUUUCUAAACCAUGUUAACUGAUUUGCAUCACACAGUUCAAAUUAAACGUCAUUUUGAA